UGUGCUCGACCAGCAGUCCAUAUAUUUAUUUAUUAUAAGGUCUAUGCUGAUAGAUAGACUCGAAACAUUACAGAGCGAUAUUAUUUCUAUUUUAUUAUGUAUAAUAUAAUGUGCCCCGAGUGUGGGUUAUUAAUGCGGUCCUGUAUCCGACUGGUUCACCGCCGAUUUCUUAUUCGCGUAUAUGGACAAACUGUUGAACAACUAGUAGUGAGCCCACGCCAUCUGAGAUGGAAUGAAGGCCUCAGCCGAACAGGCGCUCGAGUCGCUAACUCAGAACUCAGAACUCAGAACGCACGAGGUCUUUCUCACAAUCAGAUUCCCAUAAUUUUUGUGCAUUUUGUAUUGUGUUUUUAUAAAGGUAUUAUAUAAAUUUACAAGUACAUUACAAUCUAUGCCAGUGCAGUUAAAUUUGUGAUCGAGAAAUGUUUGGUUUGACGUGAAAUUCUUGGAUUAAUUAGUGGUGUUGCUCAAAUGCGAAGACUGUUUACAUAUUUGACAAGGCUUAGAAAUGGCCCUCAGUAAUCCUCAACACAAUGAUGCAUAUACAGUUUGCAAAUAUGAGGCUGUGGUACCCAUGGAAAAUGAGAUUUCACACAAUUACGAUCUUUGCGACGUUUGGACGUGAGUUACAACGGCAUAAAGUGCCUGCCUCCGAGUGUUGGUGAGCUUCGAAACUUGGAAGAACUUUCUGUCGACAGCAAUCCACUGUUCGAAUUGCCACCUUCCGUGUUUUCCUUACCACGUCUGAGGGAAUUGAGCGCAAAUUGUUGUGAUUUGCGCUGCUUACCAGCAUUACCAUUGGCCGCUGAUCCUCUGCCUAAUAUUAUUUUCAAGCUGAACCCUGCCCUGAAACAUGUACCCUUGACUCUUGAACCUCUAUUUGAUAUCAAUCCACAUAUCAGCACACGA